rnacentral:rRNA from 1 species
AACCUGCCCUAUACACACGGAUAACGUACCGACAUGUACGCUAAUACGAGAUAACAUAUUUUUAUCGCAUGGUAAGAAUAUCAAAGCUCCGGCGGUAUAGGAUGGACCCGCGUCUGAUUAGCUAGUUGGUAAGGUAACGGCUUACCAAGGCGACGAUCAGUAGCCGACCUGAGAGGGUGAUCGGCCACAUUGGAACUGAGACACGGUCCAAACUCCUACGGGAGGCAGCAGUGGGGAAUAUUGCACAAUGGGCGAAAGCCUGAUGCAGCAACGCCGCGUGAGCGAUGAAGGCCUUCGGGUCGUAAAGCUCUGUCCUCAAGGAAGAUAAUGACGGUACUUGAGGAGGAAGCCCCGGCUAACUACGUGCCAGCAGCCGCGGUAAUACGUAGGGGGCUAGCGUUAUCCGGAAUUACUGGGCGUAAGGGUGCGUAGGUGGUUUCUUAAGUCAGAGGUGAAAGGCUACGGCUCAACCGUAGUAAGCCUUUGAAACUGAGAAACUUGAGUGCAGGAGAGGAGAGUAGAAUUCCUAGUGUAGCGGUGAAAUGCGUAGAUAUUAGGAGGAAUACCAGUUGCGAAGGCGGCUCUCUGGACUGUAACUGACACUGAGGCACGAAAGCGUGGGGAGCAAACAGGAUUAGAUACCCUGGUAGUCCACGCCGUAAACGAUGAGUACUAGCUGUCGGAGGUUACCCCCUUCGGUGGCGCAGCUAACGCAUUAAGUACUCCGCCUGGGAAGUACGCUCGCAAGAGUG